AGGCUGGUAGCUCAACGGUAGAGCAGCGGCCUUUUAAGCCGUUGGUUGAGAGUUCGAUCCUCUCCCAGCCUACCA
rnacentral:tRNA from 1 species